CUACACACUAUAUUUCAUUUGUUCCCUAGCCUUUGAAUAAUGCAAUCUAACUGGAUUUCAGUCUUUCUACAGAUGACUUUUAUACACUAUGUGACUUGUCAGCAUUAUCAGACGGCUUAUGUGGUGGAGGGAAAUACAGCUUCUCUAAAAUGUAUGUACACGGAAAGUACUAUCAACUCUCUGAAAUGGUAUCGCCAGUAUCCAGGAGGGAAACCAGAUGAAAUCAUGACUAUUUUUACUGAUGGGAACAGAACAGAAGGAAGAUUCACAGCUGAGCUCCAGAAGAAGGACAAAACCAGUUUCCUCUUUAUACCAAACACACGUGUGACUGAUUCUCAAUUUUAUGUCUGUGCAACUGAGGCACAGUGUGAGACAUCCUAUGGCAGCCAGUGCAAGAACACUGUGCCGUUUGGUGCUUGUGUCUCAAUGAGUACUGUUGUUUAUUGUUAA